rnacentral:piRNA from 1 species
CAGCAGGAACUUUAUGAUGAUUGUUGGUU